GGAGGGGCCAUAGCUCAAUAGUAGAGCAUCUGCUUUGUAUGCAGAAGGUCCCAGGUUCAAUCCCUGGCUUUUCCA